rnacentral:lncRNA from 1 species
AGUGAACUAGUCAAUGGGAUCAUGCUAGUUCUUUUGGUGAUUGUAGUUUGGGAAAGGGAACAAAUAUUUAGCCUUCAAUAAUGACCAAAUCAGUGGGCAGGAUGUGGACAUUUGAUUAGCCAGAAAAUUCCUCGGUAUGUACCUGCCUCUCUUUGUUUUGGACUUUUUACCUCUUUGUAUUCAAGGAAACUAGUUCUCCGAAUAAUGCUAUUCAGGCAAGAAUUUUGUAC